GACGAACGCUGGAGGCGUGCUUAACACAUGCAAGUCGAACGAUGAAAUGGAGCUUGCUCCAUGGAUUAGUGGCGAACGGGUGAGUAACACGUGAAUAACCUGCCCUUAAUUUUGGAAUAACCCAGGGAAACCUGGGCUAAUACCGGAUAAGUAAACCUGUGCAUCACAUGGUUUUGGAAAGUUUUUCGAUUAAGGAUGGAUUCGCGGCCUAUCAGCUUGUUGGUGAGGUAAUGGCUCACCAAGGCGACGACGGGUAGCCGGCCUGAGAGGGUGAACGGCCACACUGGAACUGAGACACGGCCCAGACUCCUACGGGAGGCAGCAGUGGGGAAUAUUGCGCAAUGGAAGAAAGUCUGACGCAGCGACGCCUCGUGAGGGACGAAGGUCUUCGGAUUGUAAACCUCUUUCAGCAGGGACGAAGCGAAAGUGACGGUACCUGCAGAAGAAGCACCGGCUAACUAUGUGCCAGCCGCCGCGGUAA
rnacentral:rRNA from 1 species